GCCGGCGUGGCGGAAUUGGAAUACGCGUUAGUUUUAGGAACUAAUCUCGCAAGAGUUGUGGGUUCGAGUCCCACCGCCGGCA
rnacentral:tRNA from 1 species